GGACAGGGCCUGCCCGGAGCGCCCACGCCCGGGAGUGCCCCGAGGGCGGCGCGGCCCCACCUCUGCACAUUCCGAGGGCCGGGGGCUGGCAGCUUCUCGGUUUCCUCAUCUGGGAAAUGGGGUAACACUGUCUAGUCUGUAAAAUGGGUCUCUCCGGCGGACUAGGGGCCAUCUCGCAGGGAAGUCGUGAGCGUGCAAAGACUCUUUGCUAUCUUCAAACGGCUGUGCAGAUCCACACAAUUAGGCUCUUAACCGGACCAUGACCGUCACCACCUACCGCAGUCUCGGGCCCCUUCCCCUAAACCCGGAGUUGCAGGGCGCGGAAAUUCCAGCUGUCUGCCCCGGGAUGCCCCCUGCCGACCUCUCCCAACCGCCUCACCUGGCGCCCGGCCACGUCCACUCCAGCCACCUGGCUCUCUCGCCAGAAGCCAAGCGCCUCCACGCCUCAGGGCCUUUGUACAUGCUGUUCUCUCGGCCUGGAAUGCGCUUCCUCCGACUUCUCACAGCCAAAUCCCACCGACCUCGAGGAGAUGACACCCCCUCCAAGAGGCUUUUCUAGGCCCCUCCUCUACUCCCCACGCCAGCCACGAUGUGACUGUUGGACAGGGGGUAAAGUCAAGCGGCGGCCACACACAGUGGGGGCCCCCAUCUCUGCGGGCUCAAUGCCCAACCGUGGGGACCACAACGUCAACUGGAGGACCUUGAACACCCGCUCCACCUGGGUCUGUGCAGACACACCGACGGGCGCGGGGCCCGCGUUUCCCACGCAGAUUCUUCACGAGGGAAACUCCCGUGUGGUGCGCGGUUUGCGCCCCAGGACGGAUAAAGUCAUGGGGACUGUGAGUCGAGAAACACUAGGACUCAGCCGGGGUCGGUCUGGCAACUAUGGACAAGUGUCUUGUUCAUCCAGCACCUCAGCUUCCUUCUCUGCCAAAUAGAGUUGAAACUUCAAUUAAAUAGAGUCGGGAGAUGAGAAGGGGAAGCUCCCACACCCUGCGAAGAUAGCAGAGCCCAACAGGAAGAAGAAAGACUCCUCUUCAUUCCCAGCAAGGACUCAGCCACUGAAAAGCCACGGACUCUUUGUUUACUAUCGGCCUCCCAACUUCCCUUUCCCCUCCAUAAAAGUGUUCUCCUUCCUUUGCCAUGCGGAGACUUGCACGUGGCUCCCCAUGGCUGCAGACUCCCCAGUUAUGAUUCUCUGCUGAUCCUGAAUAAACCCAUCUUUGUUGGAGAAAUAUCUAGCAGUCUAUUUGUUUUAGGUCAACAGUAGGAAAUAGUUAAAGGAAAUGGAAAGGCAGGGAGACAUCAUUUUUACCGCCCGCUUCUGGAGCUGGCACCAGCAAGGGCACCAGGCAAUAUGGGCUCCAAUCAGCAGUGGCGGCAAUGUUUCUAGAAGCUUGGCAGCGAAUGAUGGCCCCUGGGCUCCUGCCCAGCAGCUUUCUGAUCUCUGGGUAACACCUCCUUCCCUUGCUCCUUCAGCUCUUUCAACACCUUUGUGACUGCAUCCCUGCAUUAGAUACCUUUGAAAUAUCUAGUGGCGUAAUUUCUGUGUGCCUGCCUGGACACUGACGACAGCCAAGUCCCCAGUGUCCACCCCAGCCGAUGAUUAUCCCGAGCA